AUUAACGCUGGCGGCGUGCCUAACACAUGCAAGUCGAACGGACCUUUGUUUUGAGAAUUCCGAUUCAUCGGGCGUCUCAUGACUACUGGUUAGUGGCGGACGGGUGAGUAACACGUGGUACCUGCCUCUAGUGGGGAAUAACUGGCCGAAAGGUCGGCUAAUACCGCAUGUGAUCUACGGAUCAAAGCAGCAAUGCGCUAGAGGAGGGGCCUGCGGCUGAUUAGCUUGUUGGUAGGGUAAUGGCCUACCAAGGCGACGAUCAGUAGCUGGAUCGAGAGGUUGACCAGCCACACUGGGACUGAGAUACGGCCCAGACUCCUACGGGAGGCAGCAGUGAGGAAUUUUCCACAAUGGACGAAAGUCUGAUGGAGCAACGCCGCGUGCAGGAAGACGGCCUUAGGGUUGUAAACUGCUUUUAUUUGGGAAGAUUAUGACGGUACCCAAAUGAAUAAGGAUCGGCUAACUACGUGCCAGCAGCCGCGGUAAUACGUAGGAUCCAAGCGUUAUCCGGAAUUACUGGGCGUAAAGCGUACGUAGGUGGGGAUUUAAGUGAGAUGCGAAAUCCGGCGGCUCAACCGUCAAACUGUGUCUCAAUACUGGGUCCCUUGAGGUUGGCAGAGGCAAGUGGAAUUCCGGUGUAGCAGUGAAAUGCGUAGAGAUCGAAGGAACACCAAUGGCGAAGGCAGCUUGCUGGGCCACACCUGACACUGAGGUACGAAAGCGUGGGGAGCGAACAGGAUUAGAUACCCUGGUAGUCCACGCCGUAAACGAUGGAUGCUAGUAGUUCGAGGUAUCGACCCCUUCGGGCUUGCGAAGCUAACGCGUUAAGCAUCCCGCCUGGGGAGUACGAGCGCAAGCUUAAAACUCAAGGAAUUGACGGGGACCCGCACAAGCGGUGGAGCAUGUGGUUUAAUUCGAUGCUACGCGAAGAACCUUACCAAGGUUUGACAUCUCCGGAAUCCCCUGGAAACAGGGGAGUGCCUUCGGGAACCGGAUGACAGGUGUUGCAUGGCCGUCGUCAGUCGUGUCGUGAGAUGUUGGGUUAAGUCCCGCAACGAGCGCAACCCCUAUCGUCUGUUGCAAUUUCAGGCGAGACUGCCCGGGCCAACCGGGAGGAAGGUGGGGUCGAAGUCAGGUCAGCAUGGCCCUUACACCUUGGGCUACACACGUGCUACAAUGGCCGGUACAAUGCGUUUGCCAACCCGUGAGGGGGAGCUAAUCGUAUCAAAACCGGUCUCAGUUCGGAUCGAAGGCUGAAACUCGCCUCCGUGAAGCUGGAAUCGCUAGUAACCGUAGGUCAGCAUACUACGGUGAAUACGUUCCCGGGUCUUGUACACACCGCCCGUCACACCACGAAAGUUGGGGGUACCCGAGUGCUAUUUAUUGGCCCUAAGGUAACUCAGCGAUUGGGGUG
rnacentral:rRNA from 1 species